CCUACGGGAGGCAGCAGUGGGGAAUAUUGCACAAUGGGGGGAACCCUGAUGCAGCGACGCCGCGUGGGUGAAGGAGUAUUUCGGUAUGUAAAGCCCUAUCAGCAGGGAAGAACAAUGACGGUACCUGACUACGAAGCACCGGCUAAAUACGUGCCAGCAGCCGCGGUAAUACGUAUGGUGCAAGCGUUAUCCGGAUUUACUGGGUGUAAAGGGAGCGCAGGCGGCGCGUUAAGACUGGUGUGAAAGUCCGCGGCCCAACCGCGGGACUGCAGUGGGAACUGGCGCGCUGGAGUGCCGGAGGGGUAGGCGGAAUUCCUAGUGUAGCGGUGAAAUGCGUAGAUAUUAGGAGGAACACCAGUGGCGAAGGCGGCCUACUGGACGGUGACUGACGCUGAGGCUCGAAAGCGUGGGGAGCAAACAGGAUUAGAUACCCCAGUAGUC
rnacentral:rRNA from 1 species